rnacentral:misc_RNA from 1 species
GAAUUCGCAGCGGAGAAGUCGAAGUCUCGGGCAUCGUCAGAACCAGCGUUCGGCGACUACGACGGUGUCCCCGGGUUUCAGAAGCGUACCAGGCGGCACGACAGCCUGAACGGCGCCAGCUUCGCCCAUUCGGGUUAAUUUGAUGCUNNNNUUCGCUGCGCGCGAGGGGUGAAGCCGCCGGCAAUGGCAACGGCGCUCUCCGCCGUCAUGU